ACGUGAUCGUGAUAAAGACCCGGAUCGAAGUAAACACUAUUGGCAGCCAUAUUGUUAUGAAACAAAAUAGUUUGCAUCGGGAAAAUAGGGAAAUAUGAAGACCAUUACUGUAUAUUAUUCAGAAGUGUCCGACUCCGAAAAAGUGCGACAAGGUUUCGUGCAAAACGUUCCAAACUGAAUAACAAUGGCGGGUUUGGCUGAUGUGUUUUCUGAACAAGAAAAAACGAACUGGUUGAAGGAGUGUCUCGGACUAAACAUUGCAAAACAUGCUUUAGAGCAAUUCGUGGACAGAGAGAUGACUGACGUUUGGACCCAAGUUUAUCAAGUUGUUCGGUCAAGGCUUAAUCUACCCACUACUACAGUGUGCUCCAACUGUUGUACCGCCAACUUGUUGAAAUGUCCCGCACAAAAUAUUUGCAAGAAGCGAAGUAAAAAUGUAUGCAGAUCAAUGCAUGACACUCCAAACAAACAACACAGACCGUGCAGCAUGACGAUAUGUGAUGAAGUUCGAGAUGAAAUAAUAAAAGCACAUCGAUAUAGUCAGCCUUCCUGGAAGAAUACAUCAGCUGAACAAUGGGCAAACAAUCAUUGGCAGAUAGCGAAAUGCUUUCUGCCUCCAGACGGGUAUUCGGAAGUGGGAUCUGCACAUGAAACGGAUUUCAAUGGUAUUAUCAGUGUUAUGCUGAACUGCAAACACUUCGACAGCAAGAUGUCUUUCGCCAUUGCACAAACGUGUCUGUUGUCAAAAGCCCGCGAAGUAGGUAGAGCUGUUCGUCAUAACGCCGAUUGUAAAAUGAACCACAUCGACCUGCAGAACACCUUUAUCGCAUUGAUUGAUCUUCUGAGUGAUCCGACGAGCUUAGGUCAGGACGGUCAAGCCAAACAUGCAGUCAGAACAUUAAAACAGCUUGAAGUCGACACUUUGAAAAUAACCGAGGCAGAAAUGAGUAAUUUACUAAAGGAUGCACAAGACACGUUAACCCAGAUGAAACAAGUGGCCGAUGCAUCGCUGAAAGAGAUGAACGACUUUCUAGAAAACUUCUUAAAACGAUACGCAAGCAUUAAGGAAGAGGACUACGUUUGCGCUUCGGAAGAAUUCAUCACGCGUUUAAAAAAGCACUACAAUGACGCGCUGAGUCACGUGUCCAUGUCGACAUUGUUUCCUAGCGGUGAUGAAUCCCUUCAUAAAUUAUAUGCGGCGCCAUCAAUAUGCCGAAAAACUGAAAACAACGACGGAGAAAAUGAAGCUGUUUCUACGUACAAUGAAAUAUUGUAUACUGGUGAAAAACUAAAAAAGCGCAUAUUUCUGCAAGAUGAAGCUGGCAUGGGAAAGACUACAUUUGCUACUAAAUUGAUACUGGACUGGUGCAACCAAGUAGAAGCAUCAUCACUUCUACCUGAAAGUAACCCACCAUUUUACGAUGCUAGCACGAUACAUGAAUUUAAAUUAGCACUCUUUAUUACAUUGAGAGAUUCUGUAGUUCAUCGCGAUGUGACGAAAAUGAUCAAAGAGCAGUUAAUCGACUUGAUGUAUGCAGACACAGAUCGAGAGGAGGCAUAUUUACUUCUUAAUAAACUAAUGCAAACAGAAAGAUGUUUGGUGGUACACGACGGCUUAGAUGAGUGGAGGGAUCCUGAAGGGAAAGUAGCUCAGCCUAUUUGAGUUUCCUGUUACAGCCAAUGUACAGUAUUGACAACAACACGGCCAUGGAACAUGACUGAUGAACGCAUUAAGAAAUCUCAAAUUGACAGCUUAUUUGAGCUGACAGGAAUCAGAGAUCCAUAUAUUCUGUGUAAAAACGUCCUGGAAAGCUCUGGAUGCUUUACAUUGGAGAAAUUUAAUGAUUACAAAAUUUAUGUAGCAGAAAAUGAACUGCAUGAUAUACUGUAUUCACCAAUGAUGCUAUUGCUAAUUGUAUGUUCCUGGCUCAACCGAAUACAAUUAACACGUUCAAUAUGCGAAGUCUACAGUGUUUUGAUAGAUGGACUUUUCAAGAAGGCGAGUGACGGGCAGAGCUUUUUUACACAGCCAACUUUACGGUGCUUUAAGAACACACGUUACUUUCAUCAAAAUAUGGAACAUUUGAUUGCCAUUUCCAAAACAGCAUUUUUAAUGAUGUUUUUGGCCGAGCGGGAACAAUCUCUAGUUAUUAGUGAUCAACAAUUGGCGCAAUACCUGCCAAAAGAACACAAAGAGUUCGCUCUUAAGACCGGCAUUCUUUCGGAACGAAAAUCUGUCUGUAGAACCUAUCAAAGAUCAACGUGUUCAUUUAUUCAUAAAAGUGUGCAUGAAUUUUUAGCGGCAGUUUACAUUGCUUACAAUACUGCUGAACUUGGUUUCGUAUCUAGAUAUAUGAUCGAAAAUGCUGGCGUAGUUUUUAAAAAUCAGAUAUUUAUUUUCUUGUGUGGAUUAAACAUUUCAGCAGCAAAUUUGUUAUCGCGCACAAUAGACAGCAUUGCUGAUACGUGGGUGGGGAAUAUAUUAGAGAUAGUUACAGAAUUAUACAUCUCUGGGUUUUACGAAGCUCAAAGAAAUGUUCAGAAUUUGAAUGAAAUCAAUCUGAAGCUCAGUAAAAUUUAUAGUUCAGAAAAUGUCAACAUGAAUGAUGUUUAAGCAUCAUACGAAUGAACAUGUCAAACGCGAAGCAUCUGAGUCUACAUGAUCCGGACACGCUUAGUAGCGGCAAUGAUGAAGAGCGUCGGUUGGAUUGUUCUCUAUUUCUUUUUGAAAAUCUCGAAGUACUUGAAUUGUGUUGUGUGUGUAAUAUUGAGGACAUGACGAGUUGUCACAAUUCGGAGAGGGUUCUACUUACAGAAGGAAUCACGAAUCAGUCUACUUCUUUUUAUGGACCAAAACUGGUGAGUUUUAAGAUGAAGAAUUGUAUGUGUAACGGGUUGGACUUAUCAUCUUGUCCCAAUCUAGAAACUAUAACUAUUCAUAUGUCUUCAGAUGAUUACGGAGAUAUCACUCUAAUUCACAUUGCCCUUCAUGGACUGGCAAAACUAAAGAGCCUUAAGAUGAAGGAAUGUGACUUUGAAGAGAUCUUGUCUCAAUCUGGAAAGAAUCAUUAUUCGUGGAUGGGGCACACUUAAAGCUAAUGCCCUACAUGGGCUAGCAAAACUAAAUAACCUUGUGAUAAACAUGAAAGGCUGUACAAGUUUUGACUUAUCAGACUUAUCAUCGUGUCACAAUUUAGAAACUGUUUCUCUUCGUGGAGAGAUCAAUCUAAUACCUACUGCCCUUUAUGGACUUACAAAAAUGAAGAGCCUUAAGAUGAAAUAUUGUGAGUGUACAGGGUUGGACUUAUCAUCGUGUCACAAUUUAGAAACCAUCGAUCUUCGCAGAGAGAUCACACUGAUACCUACUGCCCUUCAUGGACUUACAAAACUUAAGAGCUUAAAAAUGAAAGAUUGUGAGUGUAAAGGGUUGGACCUAUCAUCUUGUCACAGUCUGGCAACUAUAUAUCUCCAUAGAAAGAUCACUCUUCUACCUACUGCUCUUCAUAGACUCGAAAAAUUAAAGCGCCUAGUGACGGAGGACUGUGUGUGUGAAGGGUUGGACUUAUCAUCGUGUCAAAAUAUAGACACUAUCCAUCUGUUUAGAAAGAUCACGCUCAAACCUGCAGCAUUUCACGGACAACUGCAGCACCUAAGGAUUAAUUCUAGUAAUGGGCUUACAUCAUUAUGUAAUUACAUGUUUUCUCUUAAGAAUCUAAUAGAGCUUAAAUUGUGUGGGUGCAGAUGUGAGAUGUUAGACUUGUCUGCUUGUACAAAUCUUCGAACAAUACACAUCGAAGGAGAAAUCACGUUGUUCUCUAAAGGUUUUUUAAACCUUCAGCAGCUUGAGGAACUUGUAUUGAAUUGUUUCUGUGAUGAGUUAGAUUUGUCUGCUUGUUAUAAUCUGAACAAGGUAAGAAUUUUCGGAACAAACAUUUUAAAACCAAGCAGAAAACGUGCAGGAAUUGAUUUGUUUAAUUGUUUCUAUGGUGGUUUAUCGAUUUAUAGUAACGAUAAAUUUAAUGGUAAUAUCACAUUACUAUCAAAUGGUUUUAAUCGAUUAACAAAAUUGAAGUAUCUUCAACUUUAUUGCAAAUGUAAAUUGUUAGACUUGUCGUCAUGUGCGGGUCUAAGACAAAUAGAACUUGGUCCAGAUAUUAUAUUGAUUUCUAGACAAAUGCCGAGACUUAAGUGGUUGAACUUUCUGAUAUUGUGUAACGAGUGCGAAGGUCUGGAUGUGACUUCGUAUUAGCAUCUGUAUUUAUUGUUUAUUGGAGAGCAGGUGACUCUAUUACCAGAAGGGUUGCGUGCACCUGAUUAUUUAAAGUAUAUGUUCAUGUUUGGAAAAGGUGAUGGUUUGGAUAUGUCGUCUUGUAAAGAUCCCAAUUACUUAUUUAUUGGCAAACAAAAUUACAUCACACAAUUUGAUGCACGCAAUCAUAAAAAUAUUCGGCAUCUGAAAUUAUGCUGCAAAUGCGAAAGUUUAGACUUGUCAGAAUGCCAUAAACUAAGAACAUUGUUUCUUACUGAUUCGACGGCGUUGUCACUAAGUUCUUAUUUAUGUUUGGAAGAAUUGUGCCUCAUGGAGCCAGUGCAGAUAUCACCAAAUUCACUACCGUCAUUGAAGUUAUCAAGAAGACCUGCUUCUGCUCCUAACUGCAUGAUUUUCAUGUAUUAAAGGGACUGUCAACCACGACGAUGACGAAAACAAAAGUUGUAAAAUACCGUUAUUUUUAACAAUUAUUAGUUUUUAUUAUAUACCUGUUGAAUGCUUUUAACAAAAUACAGGUUGUAUCAAUCGUUGAAAUAAAAACUCCCGUAUUACGCUACUCGCUGUUUCCAAUUCCGUAUUACCAUACUACUAUUUUUAGAAGCCGGACUACUUUUUUUGACCCAUUUAAUGACGUCACAUUAUGCGCACCGAAUAUAGGAAACCCCCCUUGUUAAAUCUUCGACCCAUUUAAUGACGUCACACUACGCGUAGCGAAAAUAGGAAAGCCCCCUGUGUAGUAUUAUUAGAUACGUCGUCUGCAGUUUGACCAGAGAGUAAAUAUGGCCGAAUUUUCGACCAUGGACAUAGCGGAAUGGUCAUCGAUCGGUUUAUUUGACUUAAUUGACGAUAGUUUUUUUGAAAAUGAACUAUUUGAAACGGCUGUUCAUAAUUCUGGAGAGAAUGAAAAUGUCAGUAGCACUGAAAAUACUGAAACAAGUGCAGUGUCCACUCUUUUAGAAGCAGGUGUCCAGCUGCCCAAUGAAAGUAAGUCUGAUCUGCAUCAAAAUAUAGAUUUUAGUUCACAAGACCAAAGAAAUCAAAUGGAACAGAUGAAUUUAAAUAGUCAUGAUCAAGGUGAAACACGUAAACAACCAACAUUUGUACAUGUAACAGAAGAUGAAAAGACAAAUUUUGUUCAAAGUAUGAAAAAUGUAAACACUAGCCGCAAAACUGAAUUAUGUAUGCGCCAUUUCCAACGCUGGCUAUCAGAACCACCACGCAAUGAAACAAGAUCUGUCUGUGACAUCAUGACCACUGAACUUGACAACUACAUAGGUUCAUUCCUCCUGUCCAUCCGUAAAGCCGACGGGUCUGAGUAUGAGCCUGACACACUCACAAGCUACCAUCGAGGCAUUGACCGGUUUGUAAAAGAAAUUCAUAUUUAUACACCAAAAACAUAGUAGAAUAAAGUGCUCAGUGUAUAAACAAUCAACAUUGAAUCGAAAUAGUAUUUCAGUGAUGAUCAUGCAAUGUUGUUGUAGUACUGUAUUACUCACUGCUGUAGAGAUAGUUUUAACCUAUAUAUUUAAGCUUGAGUCCAUCGAAAGCCUAAGGCUUAUAUAAACACUCUCGAGUCCAUUUUCUGGGCUUAGAACCAUUACUAUGUGUCUUUGUGAGAGAUCUUAAGAACGCUUGCACGAUGGUGAUCGAACCCAUCACCUCCCAGUGGCUAGACGGACACCCUAUCCAUAAAACAUUAAAACAUGUCGACCUUGCUGUUGAGUUAAUUUACUACAUCCAACAUAAAGUGAUUAAAUUAAAAUAUUUAAACAGCAUGAAAUGUUAUAGCUGUGUAAUUAUGCUUUAUAGUUGUUAUGUUAACCUGAUUGAUUAUUGCACACAUCUAUGAAAAUAAAAUUUAAUUAAGUGGCAAAUAAAUGUAUAAAAGUUAUUAAACAAAACAAUACGUAAAUUGAAUAUUAACCGCACAAUGAUAUUAACGGUUUAAAAAAAUAAUAUCUCGAACAAAAUAUAAAUAAUGCCCAUAAUUUUCAAAUUAUAUCCAGUUAAAAAAAAUCAAAUAAUUCUGUACAUGGGUCAAGUUUAAAAAAAUAAAAGAAUGAAAAUCAAUUGUUUAAAUGUGAUUUUUUUUUGAUAAUUAAGGGAAAAUAAAUAUUCCCACAGCAUUUUGGAUGACAGAGAGUUUGAAACUUCUCGAAAGGUUUUGGCUUCCAAAAGAAAGGAACUGAAGCAAAAAGGAAAAGGAAACAGGCCCCAUGCUGCUGAAGCCAUUACCUCUGAAGAAAGAGGGAUUUUUAAACAAAAAGCAGUAAUUGGACUUCAAAGCCCAAGACAGCUGUUGAAUCAAGUUUGGCUAAAUAAUUCAACAUUGUUCGGCAUUCGUGGUGGAACCGAAAGUCACAACCUUAGAUGGGGCGACAUCAAACUGAAAAAAACUGAUCAAAGAAGAGAAUACCUUGAAUACAAUGAACGGUUGACCAAAACACGUACAUCGGAAACCAAGUCGGAUCAAAGGGCCUUUCCACCUAAGCAGUUUGCUCAUACCAACACAGAUUCAUGCCCUGUUGAAGCGUACAAGGAGUUAGCUCAUCACAGACCGAAAGAAGCUCUGCGUGAUGAUGCCCCUUUCUACUUGUGUAUAAACUAUAGUCGACAUGAUGGGUCCAACAAGUGGUAUGAAUGUCAGCCCAUGGGUGAAAACUCCUUGAGGUCAAUAAUGAGAACGAUGGCCGAGAGGGGCGAUCUCACAGGUCGGAAGACAAAUCACAGUGCCCGAAAAACAACCUGUACAACUCUCUUGCAUAAUGGGGUUGCUCCAACAACAAUUCAACAACUAACUGGACACAAAAAUGUGCAAAGUGUUAACAAUUACGCAAAGGCUUCUCUCGAAAUGCAAGCAGCCAUGUCCGACAUAUUAUCAGAAAAUCCUGACCAACAACAAAUUAUGCAACUUAACCCUAGGCCUACCUAUGGUUCUGUCAUCCCGGCAUCGGUGCGAAACACAUCUAUGUCAAGCAGCAACAAAAACACAUCCAACGCCGCCAUUGAUGAUUCCCACGAUAACACAAAUCUCCAAGGUGCACAAUUAUUCCGGUGUAACGUAACCAUCAACAACUACUAUGCACACUCUCCAUCGAAGAAACGCAAGAGAAUAUGCAUAGUAGAAAGUGACAGCGAUUAACUGUUGGUGAAUUAUAAAUCCAGCUGGUAAAUCCAACAACAUGUGCUUUCAACACGCGAAGAUUAAAACCUGUGUGUCCCCUGUUCAAAUGCGUACACGUUAGACUAAUUUGCAUAAACUGUAUUCAUGCGCGUGUAAUAUAAACUACGGCGUUCCGUUUGUAUCAUUGUGUUGUAUGUUUUGUUAAAGCAAAAAAUACAAUUGUUAACUGUUUUCGUUAGUUGCUGUAUAUAAUAAAUGGAAUAUUACGCUAGUCAAUUGUUCCAAGAGUUUGUAUUCAGUCUCGUGGCUUGUGCUAUUUCGCAUCACACUCGAGGCUCCGCCUCUCGUGUGAUACGUCAUCACACAAGCCACUCGACUGAAUACAAACUCUUGGAACAAUUGACUAGCGUAAUAUUCCGUAUAUAUUGAUUAAAAUAUCACGACUGGUAUAUUAUAUUACUUGAAAAAAGUUGUUAAGUUUUCAUAUUUUCAGUAUAUUUGGUAAUAACGUUUAAUGGGUAUGUCUACCCGGUAACUACCAGUUAACUAUAAAUAACGCCAGUAGAUUGAUCAUCAUCGUCACGUGGUAAACCCAGGAAUGCAAAUUGUGCAUGCGUUGUGAAUUAUAUAUAUUUUAUAUGUAAAAUGAUCAAUCUACUUGCGUUAUUUAUAGUGUGUAUAUCGUUAUGUCACCUAUUUUCGCGAUGUACUUUCGAUUUCACAUCGCGAAAUUUUAUUACCGAAUAUACUGAAAAUAUGAACUUUUUUCAAGUAAUGUAAUAUACCUGUCGUGAUAUUUUAAUAAAUAUACACUAAUAAUUGUAAAAAAUACGGUAUUUUAGAACUUUUCUUUUUUCGUCAUUCGUGGUUGACAGUCCCUUUAACCUACCAUAUAUCACAGAUCACAAAUUGAUUUUCUCUUCUAAUUUCAGAUUUAAUAUAAUGUGCACAUAGAUAGACAUAUUACAAGCAUGAGUAAACAGACAUUAUUUAAUGAUUGUUGGCUCAAAGACCCUGAGUUUUCAUCAUCGGUUGACAAAAACUAUAGAAAUGAAAAAAAUAAAUAAAACAAAACACGCUGUCUUAUAUGAGGUGGUGGUUCCUUUAUGCUAGGUAACAUGGGAAAACAAGCUCUAAGGAGUUAUGCCAAAGGCAAAAAGCACAAAGACAAGAAUGUUCUGGUAUCAAAGGUAAAAACUGAGAAAAAUCGUAUGUCUGACUUUGUUAAGACAGACUAGCCUACCAGCAGUCAGGUGGUUGUGGAUGUCAAGAAUCAGGCCCUUCAGUAUUUACUUUAUAGCCUUGCAUCAUGCAUAGUUUAGUGUACAAGAAGUACUGCUUUGUUAUUUGUUAAAUAUUUUAUGAUAAAUAAUAAAAUAAACAUUAAAUGGGUGGAUUUGGUCGGCUGUAUGGGGAGGAGGAGGCCGAAUAUGUCACGAAAUUAGUCAGUGAAAACCAAGAUUUGGUCAGGGAAAAGUCAGUUAAAAGUCAGGGAAUUUUAUUUCAUCAGGUUGGUGGCAACCCUGUUUGAGCUCGUGAAUCACUUUAAUUUAGUUAAUUGACAAAUAUUGUGAAAAUAACAUGAGUAUUGAAACUUUGAAAGUAAAGUUAUAAUUACAAUGCACAUUCAAACAGCUAAACCAGGUAAUUAUAUCGAUAUUUCUGUAAACUGCACUUUUUUGAAUGAAAUAGAUAAAUACAGUGUGUGAUACUGCAUUGUUACUGCAGCUUAAACGCAAUUUUCUACGCCUCGCCAAUUGUCUCAUGUGUAAUCAGUGUCACCCGUACAUGGAAUAUAUAGGCUUGGGCAAUUAAGUGACCCCGUCAUAUGGCUUCGCGAGCUUUUUAAAGAAGAGAACCCCACCUGUUGACAUUAGUGUCUUUGCAGUGUAUUGUUUAAAAUAUUAAACGCAUCAGUUAGCUAAUUAAAGCAUGUAGCUAGCAUUAGGGGUUGUAUCCAGACGACAAUUGAUUAAGAAGGGAUGGCUUGCAUCGACACGCCAUACUGGCAAGGGGGAACACUGAAUGCAAUGCUACUGUAACGGUUGAAUCAAACAACGUAUGUAAGUUUUGUUUAGAUGCAUGAUAAUUAUUACUGCUUAACAAUAUGAACAAAAUUAGCAAGACUACUAAAGUAUAUACAUUCAAUUGGUUCUUUAACAUGUAUUGUUGUUUUUCUUGUGAAAAUGAAAUUUGUUUUGAUUUCCUCAAUUCAAUGUUUGUUUAUGUUUAUGGUAUAUCGACUGUUCAUACUGUAAAAUAUGUUAUUUGUUAAAUAUUAGUUUCUUGACAAUAUUCAAUAUACUAUUAUUACUGAAAGGCAAAUUGCGGAAGCAGCAUUUGUUUAGAUGUGUCUUUUCUGACAUGUCUGUAUGAAAUCUAACAUAUUCCUCCAGCUUUUUGUUAUGUUCAAAUGCGUAUGUUAAAUUCAUUAAGUAGAUGUAUAUUUGAACUGAAAUAAAGUUAACAUAUAACCUCGAUCGUUUGUUAUGCUCCCCCAAAAUUUAUUUUGGGGGAGCAUAUAGUCGCCGCUUCGUCUGUUCAUGUGUGCGUCUGAGUGUCUGUCUGUCCUUCCGUGCACAAUUUAUCUCCGGGCUAUUUCUUAGCAACUAAUGACCGGAAUUCGAAGAAACUUUAUGGGAAGCUUCACUACCAAGAGGAGAUGUGCAUAUUAUCAGCGGGUUCUGGUCGGAUGAUUUUUUUCACAGAGUUAUGGCCCUUUGAAAUUUUUGGUAUUUUCCAUUAAUUGUACAUGUAGUGCAAUUCUUGUCCGGGCUAUUUCUCAGCAACUAAUGACCGGAAUUCAAUGAAACUUUAUGGGAAGCUUCACUACCAAGAGGAAAUGUGCAUAUUAUCAGCGGGUUCUGGUCGGAUGAUUUUUCACAGAGUUAUGGCCCUUUGAAAUUUUCUAUAAACAAAAUUUCUUAUCCCCUCAACUUCUGUGCCCUCAAGACGUUUCCAUUUAUCUGAAUAUAUAGUGAAAUAUUGUGACAAAAAACCUUUGGGGAGCAUCACCCGUCUCCGACGGUUUCUUGUAUUGUAUAUAUUAAGACAUUUAAAUAAUUUAUAUUGCAUGAACGUCUAUUUAUCUUUCACAAAACAACUGCAGAAACAUUCUCAGCGAUAUCAAAAACGCGUUUAGUUAACUUUAUAUUCCAUGAUUAAUGAAAUGUACUCAAACUAAAUUUAAUUUUAACGUAUGAUGAACACUGCUAAACAUUAAUGUACAUUCAGAAAAUUAUACAUAACACAAAUGUUGUUUCAUGUUCUUAUACAUGUGCAAAUAGUCAACCUUUGAAUACUUUUUUAAUGCAAUUAUAAUUUAAGAUAAAAUAUGAUAUAUUAAUGGAUUGACAUCAGUCGGUUACAAUAUUGGUUGCUAUUGUUUCUACCCUAGCAUUUGUAUUGAUAAAAGAUAUCGUUAAUUUUAUAGUUUUGUGUAAUCGUUUUUAAUUUUCAUGUAUUAUUGAAUAACAUUACUAUUUUAUCAAUUCAGUCUGUACCUUUUCAAGUAGUCAUUUUUCACUUUUGUUUCAAUGUUAAUUUUUUAAUACAAAAGGCAAAUUAUUGUCUUCACAUAUUUUUAUCAUUCAACAUUUGUCUGCAUGAAAUAUGUUUGAAUCACAAUGCUUAGCUAAACCACUGUCCAGAACGAACUGAUAAAUCCAGAAUGUAUAUUUUCAAUCUACCUUUCUCUGUCAAAUGCUAUACUUUAUUUUGACGAAUUCGAUUUCAAUACUAAAUAAAAGCGUUAAUAACAGUUCGUUGGUAAUAUUCGUCAACACGCCAUUGCUCACUGGUGCUUUGAUUUGUUUGUUAAUCGAUAGUAGUCCGCCCAUUUUAGUACCAUAUUCAGUGAGUAAUAAUCAGUACGUUCGUUUUCACCUAAAUUCUUCCUAAUUAAUUAAGUUCGUGUGUGUGUUACUUUAGUUUAAUAUCAUAAACGUGUUUUUAUUUAUUGCAUGCGUAUAUUGUAUGUAAUAAAAUAAAUGAACCGGUUAUCAUUAAUGUAAACCUGAUUAAGUUUUAAUUCAUCAUAAUUUUAUGUAAUUACUUUAUACCAUUUUUAAUUGUGUAAUUAUGCCUUCAUGAACAAUCGUACAUUCAUACUUCCUUUUUAGUUGACGUGUUUUUGUUACUCACAUCUGUUACUUAUCGUAUAGUGUUUUAUCUGUUCUUUCUUUGAAUGUAAGGUACAGCCAAAUUUAUUAGGCUAAUAAACACUUAAACUUUA